UACGUAGGGUGCGAGCGUUAAUCGGAAUUACUGGGCGUAAAGCGUGCGCAGGCGGCCUCGCAAGUCGAGUGUGAAAUCCCCGAGCUUAACUUGGGAAUUGCGCUCGAAACUACGGGGGCUGGAGUAUGGCAGAGGGAGGUGGAAUUCCACGUGUAGCGGUGAAAUGACGUAGAGAUGUGGAGAACACCGAUGGCGAAGGCAGCCUCCUGGGCCAAUAC
rnacentral:rRNA from 1 species